CUUUGCCAUUGCAGGUGCGCUUGCAUGGCAGGUCAAAAAAGCCCUAAUAAAUUUUGUUUUUUUGGGUUUUGGGGGGAAGAGGCACGGGUGUUUUUUUCUUUUCCCGCUCGGCUCUUCCCCCUUCUGCGUGCGCCCGCGCUCUCUCUCUCCCUCUCCCUCUCUCUCUCCUCGUUUCUUCUGUCUGGUCUAUGCUUGCAUAUCUACAUUUGCACGCCAAUCAUAAUUUGGUGGCACGGAUAAGGCCAACAAGGAUACCAAUCUGGCUUCACAAAGAAGGUAAUUAAUAGCUCUCGACCCUCUUAUUGAUUCUUUAAUUUCAAAAAUAAUGUGCAGAAAAUCUACAGAAAACAAAAUCAUUCUUACAAGGGUACAUUUGAUGAAGAUCGCCCUGUUUCACACACUUAUUAUAACAUAGUUAGUUUAACAACGAUCAAGGGAAACAUUCUCACCAGUGGUUCAGUUGGUGGUCCGCCUGUUCUCAUACACUAUCACUAUAUAGUUAGGUUAACAGCAAACAUUCCAAAACUGUGUAUUUCAUCUUCUGUAGGAAUUAGUUGCACACUGAGAUCAAGAAAGCAUUUGCUAUUUAUUUGUCAUAUUUAUGUUUCCCAAUGGCUAAAGAUAGAAAUGAGGUACUGAAGCUCUGUUGGAAGCCCCUUUUCAGUCUAUCAUAGCAAUCGGGAAAAUCUACAAAAUGAAAUUGUCCCCGCACAGAUACGAUAGUUGUAACAAAAAAAUUUCAACAUUGUAUUAUAUAAAUUAUGAAGAUAUAGCAUUUUUUGCAAGGCCUUCAAAUUACUAUUAUCUAGUGUGGAUCUCCGUUUAAUUUACAUGCUCAGGGCGCAUUUAUUUACCGUAUUCAUGUUUCCUGGUGGAUAACAAUAUAAAGAAACACUUCUACUGUGCACCUAUGUCCCAUUUGAGUUUUACAUGACAACCAGGAGAAUAUCUCACUAAAUUGAAUCAAAGUUUUUAUGAGAAUUCUCAAUCUCUUGGAGCCGAGUGUUUUUUGUGCUAUUAAUUUGAUUUUCUCCUGAAUCGUAUGCUAUAUUUGAUAGUGUGAUUAUUUUGUCAAUUUGUGAAUGUGAGAUGUUAUCACAGUAUUCAAGGCAAAAUGUAUCAUUAGUUUGGUUUGUUUGUGUAAUGACAUGGGGAUGGAUAGUGAUAGACAUGAUCCUUGGUGCUGUAAUUGGGGAUGGUCUGUGAGUAGUCUGUUACAUACGUACCUAUAAAAACUUUACUCUCCUACCAGCUUGGAACGUCGUCGUCUCUCUAAGCAUAAUAUAAAUUGUAUGGUUCACGAAUCCUAAAACAAUAUGUUCCACCAUGGGCUUCUCAUGGGGAAGAGCGCCAGCCAGUUUUAUGAACUAUGAUGUGGAAGAAUGCAGUUCUGAGCUGAGGGGUUGCGACAAACUUCUCGCGUGGAACAGUGCAGAGGCUGUGCUGCUGGUUGACGCAUUGGAAUAACACAGUUUUGAGGCUGAAUACAUAAUUGCUGUUCAGCUAUUCAUGGAUGGAGCACAUGAUGGAGAUGUAAUUUGUUGAUCUCUGCUAUUCUUGUGCUGUGCUCUUGCUCCUUUGUAAUUUGGUGAUCAUCAGAGGCAAAAACAACAUAAUGGAUAUGCUCGGUUCCUUUGUGCUCAGUAUUUGGUGAUCAGCAAAAGGCAAAGACAGCAUAACUCGUGUUGUUUUUUGAAAUUUUGUUUGCGCCUUGUCAAUUAUCCAGCAGUGUUGUCUUUUUUUAUUGAAGGAGAUUGAAAUUCAGUUUGUCUGGAUCAAAGGGGUUUUGCCUCCUUUACCUUAUGCAGGCAAAAGAGAACCUGACGCGCCUGGAAUAUCUUGGGAUUGCAUUGCAGAGUCAGACAGGUUGUAUUUUUCUAUCCGGGAAGUCUUUAGAGCGAAGAAAAUUCCUUUGCUAUUUACUUGUGAUUUAUGUUCCAGUACGGUGGCUUCUUUGUUGGGAAUGGGAAUCGUAUUCUUGCCAUCGGUGCAAAAAGCCAACACCAAAUUGCUUGUCGCCCUCAGAAUAUAAAUCAGACCUAACUUGCUGUACGAUGCCUAAAUUCAAACAAGUUAUGCAGCACAACACAACAUAUGAACCACAGAAAAUAAAAAUAUUUCUAGUUUAAAGUUGGUAGAUAUUGACUUGUCACUUGCCAACAAGACGCAGAGAAUCCACCACGUGUCCAAUACGCCCACACAGACAAACAAACAAAGACGAGUCAUUGACCCAAAAAAAAAACAAACGAGUCACAUGUUUUACUUUUCCUCCUUUGAUCUUAACCAACGACCAAUGGGGAAUCGGGCUCCCGCUACGUGACAGACCGGCCUUCUGAAACUGAUUGUGAAACCCUUAAAACUCAUC